AUACAAAUCACACGAGGAUUAUGUCAAGAAUGCAGAUUCUGAUUCAGGAGAGCAGAUACAUGGUCUGAGCAUUUGCAUUUCUAACAUGCUUCCAGGUGAUAUUGAU
rnacentral:pre_miRNA from 1 species